rnacentral:rRNA from 1 species
ACAGCAGCCGCCGCGGUAAUACGGAGGGUGCAAGCGUUAAUCGGAAUUACUGGGCGUAAAGCGCACGCAGGCGGUUUGACAAGUCAGAUGUGAAAUCCCCGGGCUUAACCUGGGAACUGCAUUUGAAACUGUCAGGCUGGAGUCUUGUAGAGGGUGGUGGAAUUCCAGGUGUAGCGGUGAAAUGCGUAGAGAUCUGGAGGAAUACCGGUGGCGAAGGCGGCCCCCUGGACAAAGACUGACGCUCAGGUGCGAAAGCGUGGGGAGCAAACAGGAUUAGAUACCCGCGUAGUCCCUGUCUCUUAUAC